GGAUGUGACGGCGAUCUGGCUGCAACAUCUGCCACCCCAUUGAUCACCAGAGUUGAUCUGGCUGAUCUCUACUGGUUGGGUGGGUGUCCCCUUCCUCCCUCACCACUCCAUGUGCGUUCCUCCCAAAGCUGCCCGCUCAGUCAAAGAAGAUGACUUUUACCAAGAGAAGAGGGCUGUUCUUCAGCCAAGGGUAUAGGAGUAGCUGCUCCACCUUCCUAGAGGCUCCAGACAAGCCCUCCAGAAACCUUAUAAUGUGGUCUUCUGAUAGUUUUUAUAAUUCAAGCUUCUCAGACUACCUCAUCCUGAGUUUUGUU
rnacentral:snRNA from 1 species